rnacentral:rRNA from 1 species
AGAGUUUGAUCAUGGCUCAGGAUGAACGCUAGCGGCAGGCUUAACACAUGCAAGUCGAGGGGUAACGGGGAAGCUUGCUUCCGCCGACGACCGGCGCACGGGUGCGUAACGCGUAUACAAUCUACCUUAUACUGGGGUAUAGCCUUUAGAAAUGAAGAUUAACCCCCCAUAGUCUCUUAGAGUGGCAUCACUUCUAGAGUAAAGGUUACGGUAUAAGAUGAGUAUGCGUUCUAUUAGUUUGUUGGUGUGGUAACGGCACACCAAGACUACGAUAGAUAGGGGCCCUGAGAGGGGGAUCCCCCACACUGGUACUGAGACACGGACCAGACUCCUACGGGAGGCAGCAGUGAGGAAUAUUGGACAAUGGAGGCAACUCUGAUCCAGCCAUGCCGCGUGUAGGAUGACUGCCCUAUGGGUUGUAAACUACUUUUAUACAGGAAGAAACACCUCUACGUGUAGAGGCUUGACGGUACUGUAAGAAUAAGGAUCGGCUAACUCCGUGCCAGCAGCCGCGGUAAUACGGAGGAUCCAAGCGUUAUCCGGAAUCAUUGGGUUUAAAGGGUCCGUAGGUGGAUAAUUAAGUCAGAGGUGAAAUCUUGCAGCUCAACUGUAAAAUUGCCUUUGAUACUGGUUAUCUUGAGUUAUUAUGAAGUAGUUAGAAUAUGUAGUGUAGCGGUGAAAUGCAUAGAUAUUACAUAGAAUACCAAUUGCGAAGGCAGAUUACUAAUAAUCAACUGACACUGAUGGACGAAAGCGUGGGUAGCGAACAGGAUUAGAUACCCUGGUAGUCCACGCCGUAAACGAUGGUUACUAGCUGUUUGGACUUCGGUCUGAGUGGCUAAGCGAAAGUGAUAAGUAACCCACCUGGGGAGUACGUUCGCAAGAAUGAAACUCAAAGGAAUUGACGGGGGCCCGCACAAGCGGUGGAGCAUGUGGUUUAAUUCGAUGAUACGCGAGGAACCUUACCAGGGCUUAAAUGUAAGUUGCAUUAGUUAGAGAUAGCUAUUUCUUCGGACCACUUACAAGGUGCUGCAUGGUUGUCGUCAGCUCGUGCCGUGAGGUGUCAGGUUAAGUCCUAUAACGAGCGCAACCCCUGUUGUUAGUUGCCAGCGAGUCAUGUCGGGAACUCUAACAAGACUGCCAGUGCAAACUGUGAGGAAGGUGGGGAUGACGUCAAAUCAUCACGGCCCUUACGUCCUGGGCUACACACGUGCUACAAUGGUAGGGACAGAGAGCAGCCACUACGCGAGUAGGAGCGAAUCUAUAAACCCUAUCACAGUUCGGAUCGGAGUCUGCAACUCGACUCCGUGAAGCUGGAAUCGCUAGUAAUCGGAUAUCAGCCAUGAUCCGGUGAAUACGUUCCCGGGCCUUGUACACACCGCCCGUCAAGCCAUGGAAGUUGGAAGUGCCUGAAGUCCGUCACCGCAAGGAGCGGCCUAGGGUAAAGUCGAUAACUAGGGCUAAGUCGUAACAAGGUA